rnacentral:rRNA from 1 species
AGAGUUUGAUCAUGGCUCAGGAUGAACGCUAGCGGCAGGCUUAACACAUGCAAGUCGAGGGGUAACAGGGUGCUUGCACCGCUGACGACCGGCGCACGGGUGCGUAACGCGUAUACAAUCUACCCUAUAGAGGGGGAUAGCCCAGAGAAAUUUGGAUUAAUACCCCAUAGUACUUAGAGACAGCAUUGUUUUUAGGUUAAACAUUUAUGGCUAUAAGAUGAGUAUGCGUCCUAUUAGUUAGUUGGUAAGGUAACGGCUUACCAAGACCGCGAUAGGUAGGGGUCCUGAGAGGGAGAUCCCCCACACUGGUACUGAGACACAGACCAGACUCCUACGGGAGGCAGCAGUGAGGAAUAUUGGACAAUGGGCGAGAGCCUGAUCCAGCCAUGCCGCGUGCAGGAAGACGGCCCUAUGGGUUGUAAACUGCUUUUAUACGGGAAGAAACACCUCUUCGUGAAGACGCUUGACGGUACCGUAAGAAUGAGGAUCGGCUAACUCCGUGCCAGCAGCCGCGGUAAUACGGAGGAUCCAAGCGUUAUCCGGAAUCAUUGGGUUUAAAGGGUCCGUAGGCGGGACAAUAAGUCAGCGGUGAAAGUCUGUGGCUCAACCAUAGAAUUGCCAUUGAUACUGUUGUUCUUGAGUGUUUAUGAAGUGGUUAGAAUAUGUAGUGUAGCGGUGAAAUGCUUAGGUAUUACAUGGAAUACCGAUUGCGAAGGCAGAUCACUAAUAAAAUACUGACGCUGAUGGACGAAAGCGUAGGUAGCGAACAGGAUUAGAUACCCUGGUAGUCUACGCCGCAAACGAUGGUUACUAGCUGUUCGGAAGCAAAUCUGAGUGGCUAAGCGAAAGUGAUAAGUAACCCACCUGGGGAGUACGUUCGCAAGAAUGAAACUCAAAGGAAUUGACGGG